AGAUACCCAGUACAUCUCCAGAGGCAGUAGCAUUUUGAAGACAGUAUGUCGGCAGGGUAGUGAAUGACCCAAAGACGACUUACGGGAGAAAGCCAAGCUACAAGGAGGAUUAGUACUGUUGAGGAGUGGUGGUGCACACCUUCAAUCCCAGCACUCGGCAAGCAGAGGCAGGUGGAUCACUGAGUUCAAGGCCAGCCUGGUCUACAGAGCGAGUUCCAGGACAACACCCUGUCUCAAACAAACCAACCAAACCAAAAAACUAAACCAACCCAAAAGAGGAUCUUCAUCCUGCAGCCUACGAAGAGAUGAGGGGCAUGCAAGCUGGCGAGCAGGAGGACUGGGAGUACCACAGCCUGGGGCACAUGGAUGACAGCCAGCUGGAAGGGCGUCACAUUCUUUAUCUGGAACAUUCUUCCUCUGGUGUCCAUGUGUCCAUCUGAGGCUCUGCUCCAGUGUUCCUUAACCAGUGAGGCAUACCCUGGACACCUGUAUAGCAGUGACAACACUCCCUGCCUUCAACUGUCCCUAAGAUUUCUGAGCACAGCCCAGCAGUUCAGACUCUGUUCACAGGAUUUCUAAACAAGGAUGCCCCUGGCUGUGCCGUCCUGAGACUACGAAAUCUCUGUCCCAGAGAGCCUGUAUAGGUGCAGGUGGUGGCAAGUGGCCUGGAAGGCAGCAGCUAAUAGCAGUGCAGGAGCAAGGCUUAGAGAAAAAGAAAAACUGCAAAGGACAACCAGCUUCAGCCACUAGAGGGGGCUCUGGGUCUUCAAACCGCCAGGCUGAUUCCAUUAUGCACCCCCCGCCCCCCAGCCCCAAAGGAGGCAAUUCUGUGAGAUUCUCCCCAGGGCCACACCUGGGUUUGCAAAAAUUUGCAUGCUGUUUGACAACUAUAUACUUCUUAUCAAGCAAUUUUACAGGCUGUCAGCUCUCGGCUUUUCCUAUCUCUCUCUUUCGCCCACCCUGUCAUCCACCCACGUUCUCUGACAAGAGGGUGCAGAGACAGAUAGGACAGUCAGCAUCAACUCAAAGGGACCUCAGAAGCCCUCCCCAGCUUACCCCUCCUCCUCCAGAAGAGGAGACAGCCCGGGAGAGGGGAGGGCAGCGAUUGUGCCACCACUGUCUGUUGUCGCUUGCAUGCUCCCUGUGGGAAGGGGAUUCCCUCCCUGGAUGGAUUCCUUCUCUGAGGAAGAAGCUGAAGUGGUUCCAAUCCAACCCAGGCUCCAGCUCCCCCAGGGCUGGGCCCAUGCUGUGCUGUGAGGUGUGUGUGUAGUCAGCUGCUCAGCUGCUGCCACCCUGAAGAAGGGAACUGGAGGUUCCGCAGCCUGGGGUUGGGGGGUAGAGAGGGGUUAGGAAGAGCCUUUGGGAGGAGAAACUCUGUGUCUCAACUCUGCCUUUGAGCAAGAAUGAAGCAGGGGCCAGAGGUCUUUAGAGCGCUGGGACUUCAGGGACUUGAUGAGGGUGGCAGUGUGUGUGUGUGUGUGUGUGUGUGUGUGUGUGUGUGUGUGUGUGUGUAUGCGCACGCUACCUCUAUGUUCUUCCCAAGGCUGAAGCUGGACACUUCAGACUUUCCUAUGAGUGUCAGCCACUCUCACUCAGCCCUUCUGCUCAGAGCUCCCAAAGGCGCACAAUGGGGUCUGCUUGUUGGCUCCAGAGCACCAUGUACAAAUGCUCGGAGAUAGGAGGCAGUGGCAAACGCUAACUGCCCAAGUCAUCUAAGCUGGGGAAUCUGACAGGAGAGGCAGCAGGAAGGGACAGACAAUGGGCUUUGGGUUUCUAUGGAAACAGCACCUCAGGGUGAGGGGCAAGGGAAGAGAGCUUCCAUCUCACUUCCAGUCAGGAGUUGGGAAACAGCCCCUUUGUGGUUGGCCUCACCCCCUCCUCUUUCUUGCCAGGUGUUCACCAUGGCAACCCUCCUUCCAAAUAAGAGGCACAGCACAUCAGCAUCUGGUGCUGGGGAGCUAGGGAAGCCCAAGGGGAAUGGGAAUGAGAGACCAAGCACUCCUCCUUGACAGGAAGAGGUCCAGGCCUGGCUUUGAGGCAGGCUUAUAGUCAUUUCCCAUGUUCCCCCAGUUUCCACCUGCAUCUUGCCUCAGUGGUCAUGAGGGUGAAGCGAAGGAAAGUGCCCUUGCAGAACCUGGCCUGCCUUGCUGCUCAGGGAGCGCGGACCCACUAGAGGCAGGGGAAAAGGGAGAGGUGUCCUGGUGCUCAUCCUGUGUCACAUUCUGCUUUGUCUGGUGUCAUCACCAGACUCCUGAAAGAUGAUAAUGGAGACUGCUCCAGAGAGAAAAAAGACAGGGCUUCAAGGAGAUCCCAGAUCGAUGGUUAGAAACGUUGUCACCACAUCAACAAUCUCUCCCAGAGGGCAAAUCCACUUUUCAAAUAGACAUGGGGGAAAACAGUUCUACAUAUUACCACAGACACUGGGAGGCUGGGUCAGGGCAUUGGUGGGACCAGGUAAAGGUGGGAUAUGUCUGGUUUGGUUAGAUCCUGAUGACAGCAAGGAACAAGGUGGCCAGAAAGAGCCCUAGACUCUGUUUAUUUAUAAUAGAAAAGCUUGUCCUGUUUCCUUCCUUUACUGUGUUCCAGUGAAGGUGAUCUGAAAACAUGGAGGUAAGAGUCCUCAAGGGCCGUCCAGACCCACUGCUGUGCUCAACACUAAGCAAACCACACAUCACUCUUCCCUCAGAGACCAGGAUCUGAAACUGUGACCUGCAGACUUGCCCAGGGUCCCCAGGUUCAAUGAGACAGACCAGGACUGGGGGGAGGCCCUUCUGACCCAGGAGAGCCUUCCUGCUUCCUGCCAGCAAACUGUACCCUGUGUCUGGGAGGCAGACAGCCCAUAAGGGCCAUGUGUGCGGCCAGGAGCUCACCUGAUAUGUUGGCAUUGGAACCCUCAUUGUGCCUCUUUCCCAGAGGAAACUCCACAUCGGCAAACGUCUCAGUGGAGGGGGAGCUGGCCAUGCUGCUGGGCACUGCAGGCCUCUUCACUCGACGGCUGAAGAGCCUGCUGCUGAAGCGUUUGCCCUCCUUGGCUGGGGUGGCCUCCCCAUUGGCAGCUUCUCCCUUGCCAUUCUGGGGCAGUGCCUCUCGGGACCUGUGCUUCGCGUCUGUGUGUGCAUGAGAGACCGGUCUGCCAUUGGUAGGUCUCUGCAAUCUUGGGGAAAUGGGCUCCACAGUGGGCAAUAUCUGCUCUACUGUGACCAGGUCAUUCAGAAAGCUCUCCAGACGCCGGGCAGACUCACCACCGCCACUGCCCUCCUCCUGCCCCUCUACGUUGCCACCAGCUUCUCGCUGCUGCCGGGCCGCCCAGCGCAUCAUCUCUCCUGGAGGACGGCGGGUGCCUGCCACCAAUGCGUACUUGGGGUUGAUAAGCUUUCGAGCUACCGUGGAGGAGUAGUUGAGGCCAAUCCUGCCUGCCAGGCCCAGGUGCUGGUGCAAGUUCACUUCCUCCGAGAUGGCAUACAGCUCCCGGAACUCUAUGUCAAAGGGCUCCAUGUUCUGUCCUGUCAGGAGCAAGAGGAGAUUCCUGUCCACAUAGGAGGAGCUCCAGGUAAAGCUGGGGACAGAAAAGCAGAGACAUGGAUGGGCCCGGACCUCUCUCUCCAGUGCCCUACCAGUAGCUCCUUCACUGCCAGCCUCAGCCUGCCCCGUGGGCACACUGCCUGAUGUUUGGAGAAAGGUGCCCCUUGCCCUCACACUGGACCACUCUCCUUCCACCAGGCCAGAUUCUCCUUUCCUUUCCAUUGGGGCUUGAGAAGUCAGACCUAGAGGCACAUCUUUACAGUGGGGCUUAUAGGACCUAAGGUAGAACACGCCACAGGAAGUGUUCUUAACUCAAGACUUUGAGGCUCAAAUGAAAUAGCCAGCUAAAUACCUGGCACUGAUGCAUGCAAUGCAUGGGAACUAAACUGCACCACUGCCAGCCUGCUGCUGACCGUUCCCAGAGCGUACAGUGCCUGCAAAACUCUUACUUUAACUGCAGGAGAGGACUCAGAUCACUUACUCAUGGCUACAAUAUACUCAAGACUCACCUUGACUUUGACUUUUUCAGAGGAAAGAGAUGACUCAGAUACAGGUUCUCAUGCACCUGGUACUUUGCCUUUCUAGUCAAAUUCUGGGGUCAUCUCUCUGUGCUCCAUCUAUAGCAGUGUGAAUGAAAAUGGCCCCCAUAGCCUCAUCUGUUUGAACGCUUAGUCCCCAGUUGGAGGACCAUGGCCUUCUUGCUGGAGGCGUGCCACUGUGGAUGGGAUUUGAAGUUUCAGAAACCCAUGUCAUUCCCCGUCAGCUUUCUUUGCCAUGUGCGUGUGGAUAAGAUGUAAGCUCUCAGCUGCUGCUCCAGCGCCACACCUGCCUGCCUGCUGCCAUGCUCCCUGCUAUGAUGAUCAUGGACUCUAACCCUCUGGAUCCAUGACCCCCCAAACUAAAGCUUUCUUUUAAGUCGC
rnacentral:lncRNA from 1 species